CCUCAAUUAUUUCCCCCAAAUUUCUCCCUCUUGCAAAAGAACACAAGAAAAACCCUAAGACGAGCAAAACAAAAACGCAAAUUCGCCACUCCCCAUUCUCCUUCUCUGUAUCUAUACACAUGGAUUGAGAAUAUUUCUCCCAUUAUCACUGAUGGCACAAAGCUACCGUUUUAGAGUGGAACAAAGUUGUGGUGUGAGAGGCACAAAGCUACGGUCUGAGUAAUAACUCCGGUUGGAGGAAGGGGAAAAAGAUACAUUAAGGAGUCAAGAAUACAAGUACUGCAUGCACAAAAUUUUCAAGGAAAUUGAGUUCAAGUAUCGACUUCAACAUGCUCGACUUUUGGAUUGAUGAUUUCAUAAAGAUUUAUUGCAAAUUUAGUAGAGAUUUUAAUUCCAUUUGAAUUCUGAGUUAAUUAGUUGGUUUUAUGUUGAGAUUAUUACAUUUAGUUAGAUCUCAAUUUUAUUUGAGA